rnacentral:rRNA from 1 species
GACGAACGCUGGCGGCGUGCUUAGCACAUGCAAGUCGAACGGAAAGGCCCUGCUUUUGUGGGGUGCUCGAGUGGCGAACGGGUGAGUAACACGUGAGUAACCUGCCCUUGACUUUGGGAUAACUUCAGGAAACUGGGGCUAAUACCGGAUAGGAGCUCCUGCGGCAUGGUGGGGGUUGGAAAGUUUUGGCGGUUGGGGAUGGACUCGCGGCUUAUCAGCUGGUUGGUGGGGUAGUGGCUUACCAAGGCUUUGACGGGUAGCCGGCCUGAGUGGGUGACCGGCCACAUUGGGACUGAGAACCGGCCCAGACUCCUACGGGAGGAAGCAGUGGGGAAUAUUGCACAAUGGGCGGAAGCCUGAGGCAGCAACGCCGCGUGCGGGAUGACGGCCUUCGGGUUGUAAACCGCUUUCGCCUGUGACGAAGCGUGAGUGACGGUAAUGGGUAAAGAAGCACCGGCUAACUACGUG